CUCCAGAAAAGGGAUGUUCACAAACCUUACUUCCUGUCCCAGGCCCAGAGCCCCAAAACAUGGACUUACUGGGGCUGGCUGCUAUGGAAGAGAAAAGUCUGUUUCAGAACGAGCUACCUGAGGGCU